AGAGUUUGAUCCUGGCUCAGGAUGAACGCCAGCUACAGGCUUAACACAUGCGAGUCGAGGGGCAGCAUGACCUAGCAAUAGGUUGAUGGCGACCGGCGCACGGGUGAGUAACACGUAUCCAACCUACCGGUUAUUCCGGGAUAGCCUUUCGAAAGAAAGAUUAAUACCGGAUAGUAUAACGAGAAGGCAUCUUCUUGUUAUUAAAGAAUUUCGAUAACCGAUGGGAUGCGUUCAUUAGUUGUUGGCGGGUAACGCCACAAGACAUCGAUGGAUAGGGGUUCUGAGAGGAAGGUCCCCANAUUGGAACUGAGACACGGUCCAAAACUCCGUACGGGAGGCA
rnacentral:rRNA from 1 species